rnacentral:rRNA from 1 species
UAGGGAAUCUUCGGCAAUGGGGGCAACCCUGACCGAGCAACGCCGCGUGAGUGAAGAAGGUUUUCGGAUCGUAAAGCUCUGUUGUAAGAGAAGAACGUGUGUGAGAGUGGAAAGUUCACACAGUGACGGUAACUUACCAGAAAGGGACGGCUAACUACGUGCCAGCAGCCGCGGUAAUACGUAGGUCCCGAGCGUUGUCCGGAUUUAUUGGGCGUAAAGCGAGCGCUGGCGGUUUAAUAAGUCUGAAGUUAAAGGCAGUGGCUUAACCAUUGUUCGCUUUGGCAACUGUUAAACUUGAGUGCAGAAGGGGAGAGUGGAAUUCCAUGUGUAGCGGUGAAAUGCGUAGAUAUAUGGAGGAACACCGGUGGCGAAAGCGGCUCUCUGGUCUGUAACUGACGCUGAGGCUCGAAAGCGUGGGGAGCAAACAGG